rnacentral:rRNA from 1 species
ACGCUCGACACCUACGGGGGCAGCAGUAGGGAAUCUUCCACAAUGGACGCAAGUCUGAUGGAGCAACGCCGCGUGAGUGAAGAAGGUCUUCGGAUCGUAAAACUCUGUUGUUAGAGAAGAACACGAGUGAGAGUAACUGUUCAUUCGAUGACGGUAUCUAACCAGCAAGUCACGGCUAACUACGUGCCAGCAGCCGCGGUAAUCUGAGCGGGCUGGCAAGGC